UCCCAGACUCCUACGGGAGGCAGCAGUGGGGAAUAUUGGGCAAUGGGCGCAAGCCUGACCCAGCAACGCCGCGUGAAGGAAGAAGGCUUUCGGGUUGUAAACUUCUUUUAAGAGGGAAGAGUAGAAGACGGUACCUCUUGAAUAAGCCACGGCUAACUACGUGCCAGCAGCCGCGGUAAUACGUAGGUGGCAAGCGUUGUCCGGAUUUACUGGGUGUAAAGGGCGUGUAGCCGGGCUUACAAGUCAGAUGUGAAAUCCGGGGGCUCAACCCCCGAACUGCAUUUGAAACUGUAGGUCUUGAGUAUCGGAGAGGCAGGCGGAAUUCCUAGUGUAGCGGUGAAAUGCGUAGAUAUUAGGAGGAACACCAGUGGCGAAGGCGGCCUGCUGGACGGCAACUGACGGUGAGGCGCGAAAGCGUGGGGAGCAAACAGGAUUAGAUACCCCAGUACC
rnacentral:rRNA from 1 species